rnacentral:misc_RNA from 1 species
AAAGUCGUAACAAGGUCUCCGUUGGUGAACCAGCGGAGGGAUCAUUACCGAGUCUUCCACACUCAGACCCAACCGUGAACCCGAAACCGUUGCUUCGGCGGGCGGCCCCGACGGGCGGCCCGCCGGAGGUCUACGAUAUUAGGCUCUACUGCGGCGUGCCGCCGCACCUUAUCCUCUGAAUUACGCUUCCAAAACUAGUUAAAACUUUCAACAACGGAUCUCUUGGUUCUG